CCUAAGAUGAGGCAGAAAUGCGUAGUCGAUGGGAAACGGGUUAUUAUUCCCGUACCUCUUCUGAUUUGUUUGACCGAUGCGGUGACGCAGAAGGAUAUGUCUACGGCGUGAUGGAUCGCCGGACAAGGCUGUAGGACUUUGACGGGGUUUGGCAAAUCCGGCCCUCGAGUCUGAAGUUGAUGUCGAGCUUGCCUACGGGCGUAGCGAAGUGAUAGACUCCAUGCUGCCGGGAAAACCCGCUAAGGGAAAAUCAGGAGAGACCGUACCCCAAACCGACACAGGUGGGCGAGGAGAAUAUCCUCAGGUGCUCGAGAGAAAACUCGCUAAGGAACUCGGCAAAAUGACCCCGUAACUUUGGGAGA
rnacentral:rRNA from 1 species